rnacentral:snoRNA from 1 species
AUGCGAAUAUUCUCACUGUCCUGGUUUUGUGGUAGCCAGGGCAGGCUAAACAUUCGCUAGAUUAAGACCAUGCAUGUGUCCCCAGGCUGGGUUCUUUCCCUGAGCCUGGUUUAUAAAUGCUGGUGAUUAGA